rnacentral:lncRNA from 1 species
GUCAACUAUCACAACAUUACUAAUGUGUAUAGUAAAGUGUGUUUCAAAUAUUACCGGUUAUAUAUAAUAUAAUAUGUAGCCAGGUAUAUCAUUUUAUAAAAUACUUCUGAAUGCAGUAUUCAGGUUAACCACAGUUAAGAAGUUAACUUUACAUACACUAUGGAUUGAAGAUCUGUUAAGAAAUUAUAUAAUUCGCGUCCGGGUUCAUGUUAUGGAAUUUAAACUUGAAUUGUUUUUGCAACAAUGAUAUUUUUAACGGUUUUACAUAAUAAGUUGACAGACGACACCUCUCACAGUUAAACAGAUACUUAUACGAUACUGUUACAUGUAAGUACAUUUGUAUGUUUACACAUAAUGGGUGGUAUCGGAUGUAACUUUCCUGGUACACUAAUAUAGAGUACACAUACUACACUUUAAAUGUAUACACAGGCGUUUGAGGGUGUUAAAUUACGCACAAUGUUUCGGUUAUUAUUUCCAAAAGAUACUAGUUAAAAACUUAAGAAUAUCCAUACACCUACAAGGCCACAUACUUGCCUUCCACUUGCCAUAGUUUCUAAAAAGUAUCGUAGCCAAAGUGAUGGUAGUUUACCUUGCAUUGUGGUGAUGUAGGAUAUUAAGCCAGUUCGAAAAGAGUAUUUUAUGGAAAGUUCAUCUUAAAUACUAAUAAUAUGCAAAUUUCUGUAAAUUCCAUCCCUUUUCAUUUUAACUACUGUUAAUUUUAUUUUAUCUCACUGGGUGGGAUUCGUAUGUGUGUGUGAGUGUGUGUGUGUCGGGAUUUGAGAGAUUUAAGGCAUAAAUGUAUAUGUCCUUAGGGACUCAUAUUAAGAAAUUUUAUCGACAUAAACAGUAUGUACAAUAUUAGAUUAUUUACCAUACUUUGGCAUUAACAAUAAACAAUCCUUAGAAAGGUUCGUGGCAGGUGCACUUUUUAUAUUUUAAACUUCAAUACUUUGAAAUCUUCCCAAUUUGUAGCAAACGCACGACUUAUAACCCUCACACUACUUAUGAACAAUAUUUAUAUAUUCACAAAACAAUGAUAAAUGCAUAAUCAAUGAUAAUUAACACAUUAUUUAAAUAAUAAUAUAAGUUAUAAGGUAAUUGAUUGUUUAUGCAAUGUAAUUUCAAUUGAUAUAUAGGUAUUACCAAUGUUAUUUCAACUGAUCGGGCGGAGCUUACGUUUUAGUUUGCAUAAGGACAGUCUAUUUGUAGAUGUGUGUGAUAAGGAUGAUUACCGUAAUAAUUCUAACUGAUCUCUAAUCACCUAUCAGUGUCAUCAAAGGAAUUUACAAAAGAAUGACUGGGCACUUCAUUGAUGAAUUUAUUCUAAAACACCUAUCUAUAGAUGGACUGGUUUAUUAUGAGCGAACCGGUUAAACUACGCCCAGUCAAGUGAAAUAAAUUUAGUAAUAAAUUAGUAAAACAAACACACACUUUUUAUGUAAUUAUGAAGAAUUAUGACAAUAAGAUAUAAAGCCAGGGAUACAUUGCAGAGAAUAUAAUAGAAAAAGUAAAUAUAGAAAUGUUCUUCGAAUUUAUAUAAAGGAAAAAAAAACCGAACAUUUAAACAAUGACGGAGAAAGGGCUUAAACAGAAAAAUUGAAAUCCCUUUAAAAAUUUUACAAAUAUAGUUUAUAAUUAAAAAUGUUAUCUUAAAAAUAGACCAUUAUUGAAUUUUGUGAUAACAUUUUGUGUCGUUAUUUACUUUGGAAAUCCAUCUUACACUAGUAAGUAAGGCAGUUCACAGUUAGAUAUUUAGUUUGUUACCAAUAUAUAAGUCACACAGAGUCUAAUCAACAUUAAUACAUUAUAUAAAGGUCAAGAUUGUACCUUACAUCCUUUAGCGACGGAGCCAUCUACCCACUUGUUUAUGCAUUAACCCCAUACACUACAGGAACAACAAUGAAAUCAAUACGGUUCAACGUACAAUAUUGCUCCCUCUUGAAGCAUGUAGAUGUUGUUUGGAGGAUGACAUUAUCAACCUAGUGAUACUCCUGCAGAAACUGCAAACACCUUAGUGUUGAGUUCAAUUCAAUCCUCGGCAUGUCUGUUAACUUAGUGAGCAGAAACGAAAAUUAUUUUAAAAGGAUAACAGACGAAGUCACUCGAGGAUAACAACAUGACACUGUUGUCUCAAUGAAGCAUGUUGAUGAUAUUUGGUUAAAUGCAAUAGAAGAAAUAGUAGAAACAAGCAGAUCACUUUAGAUUUAGAGAGAUAAUAUCACCAACUAAAGAAAUAUACCUUUAUACCUUUAUACCUUUAUCUUCGGGUCUUUAUAUAAGCUAACGGCUUCCACUGACCCUUCAUCUUGGAUUUUCGUAAUGCGAUUUCUGGUCUCAUAUAAUAUGUCUAUAUAUAUUAGACUUAUUAAAAAAACUUAUUAGUAUAUUAUUUACAACCAAACAUCUCUUCAGUUAAGCAUUAUUAAGUACUAAACAGGUUGUAAACAUCAUCCUCACAACGUACGUGCUUUGGAAAUGACAAAAGGCUAGUGAUCUAAACCGAAACUUCAGGGUAACAAAAUGACAUUAGUUGAGUAUGCAAAUGCAGAAAUCAUAUUUUAUCAUUUAUUACAUUUUGUUUGACUUGUUAAAUUCGUUCUAAACUUUAUCCUAUUAUUUGACUGUGAACAUAUUGUAGGAUUUAAUAGAGACCAUGCUUAAUCGAUUUACAACUAUUAAACAGCGGUAUACUACUGUUACUUUAUUUAGCCUCUAAUCAAUUUAUGUUUUAUAACUCUUCAUUUCUUGCAAUUAUUUAACUUAGGGCAACAUUUUAUACAAUUUAAAUCUACAUUUAAAUAUUUUGGCUUAAAAUAAAUGAAACCCCCAACAUGGAUUUUAAACAGACGUCAACCCCCUGUUUUACAAUGCAAAAAUAGGAGAAAUAAUUCGUAAACAUUCCUGAUGCAUAUUAUACCACACACAUAUCCAUACAGGUAAUUUAAAAAUGAUUCAAAGUGCGUUUUUAAAACCUACUCGUAAUAAUGCACGAACUAUUUGAUGCUCAUAGCUCAUAACUAAAGUUUCACACAUUAUAAAUGUUAUACAUGCUAUAUAAUUCAUUUUUUUAAAUAUCAUUUGCUUCUUAUGAUCUAAGAAAAAAACAUAUAGCUCGUAUGCUUGCACUAACUUACCAAAAUAAAGAUUAAGUUUACACUUUAACAUUAUUUACAUUGUUUUUAUAGUGCCGAUUUUUAAAUCUUAUCACAACUUCCCUAAGUUAAGAUUUGACUUAGCAUACAUAUCCCGAUAUCCUUAUCAGGAAUCGCUUCCUUAUAUUCUUACGGAAGGGUGACUUUUUUUUUUAUGGGAGAUGCAAUUACACGCCUCUAGCAUACUAAGGAAAACAAAAACAUGUGUAUUAUUUCGCUUACCGUAGGAUAUGAAAAUAAUAGACCGUCAAAGGUAAAAUUACAAAAAAAAAGAACAAUUCAAAACGUCCCUUUUGUAAUUUCGAAAUAAAAAGCUCAACACAUCAAACGAUUGAAAAUCAACUGUGAUAUUCCAGCCUCUUAAAAAAUUUAUUAAUGUGAAAAUUAUUCUAAUUUAAAAAAAAAAAUGCAUUUACAGUGAUUAAGGUGGUACCUAACACCUUGACUUCAAUUAAUUUGGCUCGUUUAAUUUCCAUAAAAUUUUGACAAAAUACUGACUUUGACCCGUUGACGAAAAUAUGAAACUUGAAACCACACACUUUAUCGAAAAAUUUUCAUUGGAUGUAAAGCAGUAUACAAACACAAAUUUUGAUCAUUGAGAACCUUCCUAUUUUUACAAUAUAACUUAAUUAAAACGUUAAGCUGAUUUUACAGAUUCAUCUCCCUGUAGUGUUAUGAACCACACUAAACUAUGAUGACAUAACCUUAUACCUCUGAUUAACAAUAUGCUUAUUUAUGUAAAUUUGGUAUUGACACCACAUUAAACAUACUGGAAGAUGUAGAUGACAAGACAUUACUGUAGAAAAAAUUUAUUUAUCUUAUGCCGUAAACAAAUUUUACUCAAUUAUAAAAGAUCGUUCAUAUGGGGGGCGGGGAAAUAUGGGCUAGGAAGUUUCUGAUGUAUUAAGUGUGUGUUCAUUGUUAAUAUGUUUAAACACUUACGACAAAGAAGUUACUUCGGCAGAAGAUAAAGCAAAAACAGUAAGUUAACUCAAUCAAACCUUAAUGUUGUUGUUAUGUUCAUAUAAAGAGUGAAAGGAGGAUUACUCAUAUUAAUUCGUUCUUUGUUGACUGUAAGAUGUUUAGGAUAGAGUGUUACUGGGUAGGUUAAUCCGGCAAUCCUUUCAAACACAGGGAAUUAAGGUAGAUUCUGUCAUACCAUAACCAUGUUAACAGAGCGUUAUUUUCAUUUUCUGUACUCGUUGGUAUUUUCGAUUGCUCAAUGUAUUCAUAUAUGGUAGUCGAAUACUAUGUAUACAUGUUUUAUCGUUUUAUCUUGCAGAUUUGCAUUUUGUUGAGAGAAAUUGUCAAAAUGGUUUGGAAUCCACCCAACACACUCAGUGCAUCUAAUAUGCCUGCUCUUCUGCAGAAUCGGGGAAUUGUUUUCGGUUACCGUCAGAUAAAUCAGCCGUGGAGUUAUUAUGCGCGAAGCAUCUGUCAAUUCCACAACGAAACCUUUAAUAUAUGGACGCAUUUGAUAGCCAUAGUCAUACAUUUAAGUAUGAUUUACCAGUAUGCCGAGGAAUGCGACUUUUAUCGUGACAAACACUCAUGGACAUUAUUAAUUUUCAGUGUUUGUUGUAUAUAUUCGACGACAAUAAGUGUAAUAGCACACAUUUUUCAUAGCAAAAACAUUGAUGCACAUUACAGCUUAUUUCUGUUUGAUUACGCAGGCGCGUAUAUGUACGCGUAUGCUUCCGGCUUGAUAGCCAUUUACUACUUUUCAGAUUCAUAUACCUAUGACAUGAUCGUAAAUGGGUACUUGGUCGCUCAUUUGAUAUUCUCCUUUGGUGGCGUUAUUCUCAUGUGUAUUAUGAAAACAAGUUUUGGACAUAAAGACCACCAGAGGACAAGGAAAGGCCUACUUAGCUUGUUUUUUUCAUUGCACGCAAUUCUUAUGUCUGCAACAGUAGCAAGAAAAUAUUGGCUUUCACUUAAUGGCAACAAAGAACAUUUAGCGUCCAUUACUAACUAUAAUUGGGUAUAUUUAUAUUUUAUACUUGGAGGAUUAUCGUACAGUUGCCACUCGCCAGAAGUGUUUUUUCCGGGCAUGUUUGACAUUAUAGGACAAAGCCACCAAAUAUUUCAUAUAUUUGCAACACUGACUCAGAUAUUACAAAUUCGCGCAGUGCGCUUUGAAAUCUCAAAAGGGAAUGCUACAUAUGGACAUCCAUCCUUGCCAUCAUUCUUUAUAUUAUCAACAAUGUCUUUGGGAAUUAUCACUUUUAUAUGUGUGUUUAUCAUUAGAAAAUAUUUUCCAGUACAAACUUUAAAAAAAGAAAAAUAAACACAAUUGAGCUGUUUUCUCAGCCAGUCUCCAAAUCGGAGAAUAAAUAUUAUUUAUUUACUGUCUCCAAUCAGAAAUAUCAGAGGUUUGUCUUUAUAUUUUUAUUGUAUAUGUCAUUUGUUGAUUUCAUAUCUGUUAAAGAAAAAUAUUAACUUUUACUGAAAUAUGGCCAUGAAAUAAAAAAG